AGUGCUGAAAUGGACAGCUCCUUACGUUGUUUCCUAUGUUUUUUUUUAUGGGAACGAAAUAUGCCGGUGGAGCGUCUACUGCAACAUAACACCAACGUGAGUAAAACAUUUAAAUGUGUUAACCCUCGCAAGGCUGUCGGCCCAGACGGCAUCCCUAGCCGCAUCCUCAGAUCAUGAGCAGACCAGCUGGCUGGUGUGUUUACGGACAUAUUCAAUCAAUCCUUAUCCCAGUCUGCUGUUCCCACAUGCUUCAAGAGGGCCACCAUUGUUCCUGUUCCCAAGAAGCUAAGGUAACUGAGCUAAAUGACUAUCGCCCAGUAGCACUCACUUCCGUCAUCAUGAAGGGCUUUGAGAGACUAGUCAAGGACCAUAUCACCUCCACCCUACCUGACACGCUAGACCCACUCCAAUUUGCGUACCGCCCCAAUAGGUCCACAGAUUACGCAAUCGCAAUGACACUGCACACUGCCCUAACCCAUCUGGACAAGAGGAAUACCUAUGUAAGAAUGCUGUUCAUCGACUACAGCUCAGCAUUUAACACCAUAGUACCCUCCAAACUCGUCAUUAAGCUCGAGACCCAGGGUCUCGACCCCGCCCUGUGCAACUGGGUCCUGGACUUCCUGACGGGCUGCCCCCAGGUGGUGAGGGUAGGUAACAACAUCUCCACCCCGCUGAUCCUCAACACUGGGGCCCCACAAGGGUGCAUUCUCAGCCCUUUCCUGUACUCCAUGUUCACACAUGACUGAGUGGCCAUGGACACCUCCAACCCAAUCAUCAAGUUUGCAGAUGACACUACAGUGGUAGGCUUGAUUACCAACAAUGACGGGGAGGAGGUGAGGGCCCUCGGGGUGUGGUGUCAGGAAAAUAACCUCACACUCAAUGUCAAAAAAACAAAGGAGAUGAUCAUGGACUUCAGGAAACAGCAGAGGAGGCAGCCCCCUAUCCACAUCGACGUGACAGUAGUGGAGAAGGUGGAAAGUUUUAAGUUCCUCGGCAUACACAUCAUGGACAAACUGAAAUGGUCCACCCACACAGACAGCGUGGUGAAGAAGGCGCGACAGUUUUGUCACCCAAAACCCUGACAAACUUUUACAGAUGCACAAUCGAGAGCAUCCUGUCGGGCUGUAUCACAGACUGGUAUGGCAACUGCACCGCCCUCAACCGCAAGGCUCUCCAGAAGGUGGUGCGUUCUGCACAACGCAUCACCGGGGGCAAACUACCUGCCCUCCAUGACACCUACAGCACUCGAUGUCACAGAACGGCCAAAAAGAUCAUCAAGGACAACAACCACCCGAGCCACUGCCUGUUCACACCGAGAGAUUGAAAAACAGCUUCUAUCUCAAGGCCAUCAGACUGCUAAACAUCAAUCACUAACUCAGAGAGGCUGCUGCCUACAUUGAGACCCAAUCACUGGACACUUUAAUAAAUGGAUCACUAGUCACUUUAAACAAUGCCACUUUAAAUAAUGCCACUUUAAUAAUGUUUAUAUAGCUUACAUUACUCAUAUCAUAUGUAUAUAUUGUAUUUUAUACCAUCUACUGCACCUUGCCUAUGCCGCUUGGCCAUCGCUCAUCCAUAUACUUAUAUGUACAUAUUCUCAUUCACUCCUUUAGAUUUGUGUGUAUUAGGUAGUUGUUGGGGAACUGUUAGAUUACUUGUUAGAUAUUACUGCACUGUCGGAACUAGAAGCACAAGCAUUUCGCUACACUCGCAUUAUCAUCUGCUAACCAACCAUGUGUAUGUCACAUUCCUGACCUGUUUUCUGUUGUUUUUGUAUGUGUGUGAUGGUCAGGGCGUGAGUUUUGGGUGGGCAGUCUAUGUUUUCUGUUUCUAUGUUGGUUUUGGGUUGCCUGGUAUGGCUCUUAAUUAGAGGCAGGUGUUUUGCGUUUUCCUCUAAUUGAGAGUCAUAUUUAGGUAGGGUGUUCUCACUGUUUGUUUGUGGGUGAUUGUCUCCUGUGUCGUCCAUGUCUGUACCAUACGGGACUGUUUGGCUGUUUGUUCUCAGGAGGCUGAAGAAAUUUGGCUUGUCACCCAAAAACACUCACAAACUUCUACAGAUGCACAAUCGAGAACAUCCUGUCGGGCUGUAUCACCGCCUGGUACGGCAACUUCUCCGCCCACAACCUUAAGGCUCUCCAGAGGAUAGUGAGGUCUGCACAACGCAUCACUGGGGGCAAACUACCUGCCCUCCAGGACACCUACACCACCCUAUGUCACAGGAAGGCCAAAAAGAUCAUCAACCACCCGAGCCACUGCCUGUUCACCCAGCUAUCAUCCAGAAGGUGAGGUCAGUACAGGUGCAUCAAAGCUGGGACCGAGAGACUGAAAAACAGCUUCUAUCUCAAGGCCAUCAGACUGUUAAACAGCCAUUACUAACAUUGAGUGGCUGUUGCCAACAUACUGACUCAUCUCUAGCCACUUUAAUAAUUAAAAAUUGGAUGUAAUAAAUGUAUCACUAGCCACUUUAAACAAUCCCACUUUAUAUAAUGUUUACAUACCAUACAUUACUCAUCUCAUAUGUAUAUACUGUACUCUAUACCAUCUACUGCAUCUUGCCCAUGCCGUUCGGCCAUCGCUCAUCCAUAUAUUUUUAUGUACAUAUUGUUAUUCAUUCCUUUACACUUGUGUGUAUAAGGUAGUUCUUGUGAAAUUGUUAGAUUACUUGUUAGAUAUUACUGCAUGGUCGGAACUAGAAGCACAAGCAUUUCGCUACAUUCGCAUUAACAUCUGCUAACCAUGUGUAUGUGACAAAUAAAAAAUAAUAUGACGUAUA